rnacentral:lncRNA from 1 species
UUUAAAUAACUGAAUUUAAGCAAGAAUUUCUACUUAAGUGUUUUCUACAUCAUUUUUGUGGGACAUCCUGUUAGUUAACUUUCUGUUACUAUUAAAUAAGAUUGACCUCUAUGGUCAGCAAUCAGACAUAAUGGGCCUCGGUUGGGGUCUUAUUCAAAUACAGAAACCCCACCUCAAAGCUAAGGGUAGGAAUGGUAAUGAGUACCAUCAAGGUCUAUUUCAAAAGUAAAAUGCCAUGUGCCUCAGCUGUGAGAAUACCUCUAGCCUACUCCUGUCCCAGAUGUAGGAAAAUGGAAGGUGGGGGUGAACCCAAAGGGAAGUUAUAGGAAGACAAGAGCUCUGAUGCUCUUUACAAUAUAAUCAAGUUAAAAAGAGAAAAUGUCUAUUUUGGCUGGUGAUUUCAGAGAUUUCACUCUGUUUGUUCCUGUUGCUUUGAGGCUUUAGUGGCAUGGUAGAUCAUGGUGGGAACAUGAGGUGGAGGAGGUUGCUCACCUCAUGAUGGCAAGGAAGCAAAAAAAGAAAGAGAGGGAGAAAGGAGCCAGAUUUUCAAUAUCUCCUCCAAGGGCACAACCCAAAAGACCUAACUCCCUCCCACCAGGGCCUCCUCUUAAAGAUUCUUCCACCUUCCAAUAAUGCCAUCGGCUAAUGACCAUGUCUUUAACAAUUGGAUUAUAUAAAUUCUAGUUCUUUCCCUAGUCAAUCCAAGACUAUAACAGAAACAAGCAGGUUUUAGCUUUAGAAAGUGGCUUGGGUUUAGGAAAGAACCUUAAAACAGAUGACGGAUAAAAGGACAUUUGGUCCAUCCAAUGGCUGGGAGAAUUUAUGAACCAAGUACCACAUUACUGAAUCAUACACAUACACAUACACACACACACAAGCAAUAAAGCUCUACACACAGAACACACACACGAUCAUCAGGUGAGAAGAGUGUAGCUGUGAGGCAGUUCAGGGUUUCCCUGUGGUCAUGGAGCGAGUGGUGGGAAGGAGGAGGGGCCUAAUGAGCCCUAAUAAAAUUUUGACAAAAGAUGAUUUAAUGAAAUAUGUGUGGCUUUUUUCCUUCAAGAGGUACAAAGGACUAAAGAACAGUUGUGUUACUUGAUUCUAACAAUGAGUGUCUUCUAUUUUCUAAACCAUAACCAGGAGAAUAGUUCUGACAUGACAGGCAUCUCACAUAAAAGACUUCCUGCCUGUGGGAGCCAAGGGCUAUGUGCAGCAUAUGGGCUUUGAAGCAGGGAGGCUUGGGUGUGAGUUCUGACUGCCCCCUUUCAAGCUGUGUGACCUUUUGCUACUUUCCUCUGUGUCACACAGUGUGGUCCUGAGGACUGAAUGAGCCAAUGGGUUGUAAAGCAAACAGCACAGCACUCAGCAGAGAGUAGGUUGGUUUCUUUUCUGUUCCCACAUAGUCAAAGUCUCCCUUUGAUCUCAGUAACUUCCCAUUGUCUCUGUACCUCUUUGCUUCCAUCCAUAAGAACCUAGGAACUUCUUGGUGGACUAUCCUUAAACGGGCCAUUAUACUUGGUUUCCCGUGUAACUCAUGCAUGUAUCCUUUUCUUGUUUUAUUUCUGCAUCAUCUAGUUUAACGUAUAAAAUCCAGAGACUAUUGGGUUUACUUGUUCAAUAUAUAAAACUGUUUAUUCUGGUUUUGAGAAACUGAUGUGACUCCAUUUUUGAAAAUAAAUAAAUAACAGCAGCUUCUACCUCAAGGCCUGUCCUAAGGAAGGGGGCGUGACACUUGUCCUUGGAAAAACCCACAGAGCCUUUCUAGGCACAUACCCACCCUGCUUAGUUGUUUGUCUGCAAAUAACAGGAUAAAUAUGCGAUGCCAGGUGUCCCUGACUCAGUUAGGCUAGGUGAAGACCCAUAGCAACCCCUUAGCAACCACCAAUCAGCAUGAGACAGGGAAAAUACCUGGGAUGCCAGAUGACCCCCCAGUAGUUUAUGGUGGUUGAUAACAUGUUGGGAAACCAUGUAGUUUAGCACAUACACCCCUCGUGGCCUAAACCAAUCAGUUCAAAGGAAUCCCCCUCUUGUACUAACCAAUCACCCCUACCCAACUUGUUCCCGCCAGUGAAUGUGCUAAUCAAUGUUAAGAGUUGUUGUUUGAUUUUCCCACAGUGUGGAAUGAUUUGCUGUGUGAUGUUGUGAUGCAUAGAGUAUCCCCCCAAAACCUGUAAAAUCUCACUGAACAAAGGACGGGGACUCACUCCCUGGGACCGCUGCGUCGGGAACGGUUGUUAAGUCCAGGCUUGAGUUUGCAAUAAAGACUCUUGUAUGAUUGCAUCGAAUUUGGCUCCUGGAGGUCUAUUGGGGUCCCGUGAAUCUGGCAUUACAAUUUAACUCUAUGCAAGAUACUAUGGGAGAUAAAAGAUGAACAAAAUAGAAAUUACCCCUGCUUUCAAUGGGCUGUUAUUUUAGAAAUAGAGCAACAUGUCUCCAUAUAACUGGCCUGUAGGGAUAAAGUUUCUCCUAGUGCUAUAGCCAUUCAGAAGAGGGAGACAUCCUUUCUAAGGCAUUCAUCAAAAACAGUCUCAGACCCAAGGAUACAGAUGAGUCGGCCUGCAGAUUAGGCAGGCAAGGGUAGAUUAGGCCGCUGCAGUUGGAUUCUUUUUAAUAUCACAAUGACAAAUAAACAUGAUCAUAUACAGUGAAUAAAUAGCUGAGGAUUGUGCAUGGCUGGAAUAUAAGAUCUUCAUAUGUGGGAGGUUUGGUUGGAAAAAGGGGCUGAGCACAGACUGCCAGGAGCCAUGAAUAACAGUGACAGGAGAAAUAAGCAGUUCUCUGUAGUUGCAUGGAGAGGUUAUAUGAUGAAAUGUUUUCCUUACAAACAAUUGAUCUACUCUGAGCGAGCAAUUUGGGUUGGAAAGGGAAGCUCCAAGAAGGAUGGAAACUAUUUGGAAGACUAUGGUAAUGGUCCAGGAUUGAGGUCACAGGAGCUGAAUUGGGGCACUAGCAAUGAAAUGGAAAGGAAAGGAAAUGGAUGGAUAAUUUCAGACGUGGCUGAGGAUGAACAAAUAGAAUCUGCCAACUGAUUCAUUCUGUAGAGUUCUGCAUUUGCAUCAUCCAAGCGAGGGCACCCAUUAACUUCUCAGCUAAAGUUCCUUCUCAUCUAGCAUUUUAUUACUGAUCGGUUCUCAGUCCAGUCAUCCCCUUCUCUCUCCACCAGUAUAAUUAUAUGCAAUUAUGCAUCAAGUUUUUAUUACUUGAUGUAACACGGUUAGCCCAUAACAUAUGGGUCAUUCUCCUGUCACUAACAUGACAUCAGACUUCCCUGAAUUUCCUUAUAAUACUUUGAAAAUCUCCACAAAGGACUCACGUUAAACACUCUAAACUCUAAUAUUUUUCCCUUGAGCCAGGAGCCUAACACCUAGUAUACACUGUUCAAGGAUUUGAAACCACAAGCAUGUUGUAUGUCCUUUCUGCAACUGCUGGCAUAUGUGUGUGGGGGGGUGUAUUUGUACUACAGUCUGACACUUUCAGGCACUGGAUCCACAAGGAUCCACAACAGGAAGCAGCCUCUUCAUGCUGCGUCUUAGGCUCUUUCCCCAGAUGCAAGAUCCUUUGUGGUUAAGAGUGGAAAGGGGACAUUGAAAAUGGGACCACAAGACAAGUGAGAGAGAGAGG